UUCCUCCCGGCCGCUGAGAGUGUAUACUCUCACCGGCCGAGAGGAAUUCCUCCCGGCCACUGAGAGUGUAUACGCUCACCGGCCGAGGGGAA
rnacentral:miRNA from 1 species